GACGGUAACAGCCCGGUAGUUGAAAUGGCUUUCCCUCCAGAGUGGAUCCUGAGUACGGCGGAACACGUGAAAUUCCGUCGGAAUCCGGGAGGACCAUCUCCCAAGGCUAAAUACUCCCUAGUGACCGAUAGUGAACCAGUACCGUGAGGGAAAGGUGAAAAGCACCCCGGAAGGGGAGUGAAACAGUUCCUGAAACCGUGUGCCUACAAGUAGUUAGAGCCCGUUAAUGGGUGAUAGCGUGCCUUUUGUAGAAUGAACCGGCGAGUUACGAUUUGUUGCAAGGUUAAGCGGAAAAAGCGGAGCCGUAGCGAAAGCGAGUCUGAAUAGGGCGCAUAAGUAACAGGUCGUAGACCCGAAACCAGGUGAUCUACCCAUGUCCAGGAUGAAGGUAAGGUAAUACUUACUGGAGGUCCGAACCCACGCACGUUGAAAAGUGCGGGGAUGAGGUGUGGGUAGCGGAGAAAUUCCAAUCGAACUUGGAGAUAGCUGGUUCUCUCCGAAAUAGCUUUAGGGCUAGCCUCGAGGUAAAGAGUCAUGGAGGUAGAGCACUGUUUGGACUAGGGGCCCUUCUCGGGUUACCGAAUUCAGAUAAACUCCGAAUGCCAUGUACUUAUACUCGGGAGUCAGACUGCGAGUGAUAAGAUCCGUAGUCGAAAGGGAAACAGCCCAGACCACCAGUUAAGGUCCCCAAAUAUAUGUUAAGUGGAAAAGGAUGUGGGGUUGCUUAGACAACCAGGAUGUUGGCUUAGAAGCAGCCACCAUUGAAAGAGUGCGUAAUAGCUCACUGGUCGAGUGACCCCGCGCCGAAAAUGUACCGGGGCUAAACAUAUUACCGAAACUGUGGAUGAACCUCUUUAGAGGUUCGUGGUAGGAGAGCGUUCUAAGGGCGGUGAAGUCAGACCGGAAGGACUGGUGGAGCGCUUAGAAGUGAGAAUGCCGGUAUGAGUAGCGAAAGAAGGGUGAGAAUCCCUUCCACCGAAUAUCUAAGGUUUCCUGAGGAAGGCUCGUCCGCUCAGGGUUAGUCGGGACCUAAGCCGAGGCCGAUAGGCGUAGGCGAUGGACAACAGGUAGAGAUUCCUGUACCAGUGCUAAUUGUUUAACCGAUGGGGUGACACAGAAGGAUAGGGAAUCGCACGAAUGGAAAUGUGCGUCCAAGCAGUGAGUGUGAGAAGUAGGCAAAUCCGCUUCUCGCGAAGCAUGAGCUGUGAUGGGGAAGGAAAUUAAGUACGGAAGUUCCUGAUUUCACGCUGUCAAGAAAAGCCUCUAGGAAGAGUAGUACUGCCCGUACCGCAAACCGACACAGGUAGAUGAGGAGAGAAUCCUAAGGUGAGCGAGAGAACUCUCGUUAAGGAACUCGGCAAAAUGACCCCGUAACUUCGGGAGAAGGGGUGCUCUAUUAGGGUGCAAGCCCGAGAGAGCCGCAGUGAAUAGGCCCAGGCGACUGUUUAGCAAAAACACAGGUCUCUGCAAAACCGUAAGGUGACGUAUAGGGGCUGACGCCUGCCCGGUGCUGGAAGGUUAAGAGGAGUGCUUAGCUUCGGCGAAGGUACGAAUUGAAGCCCCAGUAAACGGCGGCCGUAACUAUAACGGUCCUAAGGUAGCGAAAUUCCUUGUCGGGUAAGUUCCGACCCGCACGAAAGGCGCAACGAUCUGGGCACUGUCUCAACGAGAGACUCGGUGAAAUUAUAGUACCUGUGAAGAUGCAGGUUACCCGCGACAGGACGGAAAGACCCCGUGGAGCUUUACUGCAACCUGAUAUGGAAUGUUUGUACCGCUUGUACAGGAUAGGUAGGAGCCGAAGAGACGUGUGCGCUAGCAUACGAGGAGGCAAUGGUGGGAUACUACCCUGGCUGUAUGACCAUUCUAACCCGCCACGCUUAGCGCGUGGGGAGACAGUGUCAGGUGGGCAGUUUGACUGGGGCGGUCGCCUCCUAAAGAGUAACGGAGGCGCCCAAAGG
rnacentral:rRNA from 1 species